ensembl:snRNA U6 U6 spliceosomal RNA
AUGCUGGCUUCGGUAGCACAGAGACUAACAUUGGAACAAUACAGAGAAGAUUGGCGUGGCCUCUGCGCAAAGAUGACAUGCAAAUUCUUGAAGCAUUCCAUAUUUUA